ensembl:lncRNA
CCAGAAUGUUAUGUAUGGUGAGAAGUGAGAAAGGAUGCUGGGUGCAGGACAGGGACCUCGUGACUCGCCUGGAUUCAGAGCCGAGCAAUGAGAUCAACAGUACAACCACUGACCUCCCAUUGUUCCCCUUGGCCAGAUGAAGGGCCCUGGCAGCCGUGGGCUCGAGGACCUCUCAGGAAGCACUUCUGCAUUGCCUUCACUUCUGGCCCUGGCUGGGUGAAUCCUCCCAGCAGUCGCUUGCAGCUGAGUACAGUGCAGGACAUGGAGGUGAUCUCCUGCCCGCUGAGCCCGCUGCCCACUCAGAGAUGAGGCCUGGUGAGAUUCAGGCUUCCCUCACUUCAUGAAUUCCUC